UUUUUUGCUUUAUUUUAAGACGUAUGGAAAAACAGAUAAACUUGUGUCCAUUUUGUUAGAUGUUAAAGUAAAUUAGAUCAAAUUAGAAUUUUCAGAUUAUAACAAUUCAUAUUGAUCAAACAUUGGAUACGAUCCCAUUAUUGGGAACAGAAUGCAUGCAUGUGUAAAGAGUAGUUAAUUAAUUACGUUUUUUAGAAUCAUUUUUUUUAAUUAGUUGCAAGACUUAGUGCAGUUUCAAAGUUAAAGUCGUAGAUAGAAUGUUGUUUGUGGAGCUGAUUGCACAAAUUUUUAUCCAAUUUGAAAUUGUUUUCACAACUUCCAGCUUUUAAAGAAUUGGUUUUAUUUUUAGUCUGGUGUACCAGUACAAGGUUGUAAUGUUCACUUAUAUUUAAAAUGUCAAUGACCUCCAGGCUUAAUUUAAGAGAUAUAUGGUAUUUAUGCAGGUUCUCCUCUUUAUAUUCUAAUAUUGUUAUUUAGCUCUUCAGUGGGUUUUGUUUUUUCAUCAAAUAUUUAUAAAUUAAUAUCUAUGGUGCUAAAAAGUUCAACUUCAUGGUUGUAUUUGAUUAUACUGGUAUUUAUUGAUUUCAUAUACGGAAUGUUUAAUAAAAAAAAAGAUAUCC
rnacentral:misc_RNA from 1 species